UACGGGGGGUGCGAGCGUUGUCCGGAAUCACUGGGCGUAAAGGGCGCGUAGGUGGUUUGAUAAGGGUGUGGUGAAAGUCCGGGGCUCAACCCCGGAUCUGCCGUGCCGACUGUCAAACUCGAGGACUGUAGAGGCAGACGGAAUUCCGGGUGUAGCGGUGGAAUGCGUAGAGAUCCGGAGGAAGACCGGUGGCGAAGGCGGUCUGCUGGGCAGUUCUGACACUGAGGCGCGACAGCGUGGGGAGCAAACAGG
rnacentral:rRNA from 1 species